AUCAAAUGAAAAUAUUAAUUCUUGAAAAAAUAAUUACAGUUGUUUAAAAAUAUUAAUUCUUGUAUAAUUGAUGCAGAUGCCUUUAGAAUACGUUCUCUCCAUAGAACAAUGGUUUUCUGUUACCAUCUUUCAGUAUCCAAAUCGUCAAUAAGUUCAAGAUUUUGUAAAUUUCAUAGAUGCAAAUCAACAAUGUUAUUUGAUGUGUAGUAAUUUUUAUGGAUUUAUAUAUGGAGCUGUUUUCAAAGGGGACGAAGAACAAUUUACUAGCAAGUUGGUACCCGAAUUUAUAAUGAGACUUGUGCAUUGUGACAAAAACAAUAAACUUUGGGUACGGUUAGAUGACCAUCUUGCUAGGUUUGGCUUGCAAGAAUUUUGCCUCAUUACUGGACUACCUUGCCAUGAACCAUUUGUAGAAAUUGAUUAUAAUAACGAUCGUCUUAGAAAUCAAUACUUCAAUGGCACAAAAAAAAUUAGCAAUAGAAUGCUUUUUGAAACUUUUCACAUGUGUGAAGAUACAGAAGAUAAAUUUAAACUGGAAUUAGUUAUAUUGGUCGAGUGUGUGUUGAAACCGACUUCACGACAAGUUGAUUAUAGAACUCUGGGCAUGGUUGAAUAUCUGGAUGAGUUCCUUACGUAUCCAUGGGGCCGAAUAGCAUAUUUUGUUUUGUUAAAUUCAUUGAAAGAGUCACAAUUGGAAAGAACACUAAGGAUGCAACAGAAUGGACAAACAGAAUGUAAGUAUACAUUACAAGGCUAUCCGCUCGCAUUUCAGGUAUUAUGUUCAUAUUCUAAUUACUUACGUAUUAUGUAUAAUUUCUUUGUACAAAGAAUAAAAUUUAUACAUCACAUUUCUCUUUCUUUACGUUGCAGUAUUGGAUAUAUGAAGCGUUUCCAUGAAUUGGACAAAAGUUUGGUCGCCGUAAAUACAGAACGGUCCAGAUUCCACGAAUUUAUAAUUGGAGGCCUAAUACUAUACUGAAGGAAUCGGUUGUUAAGCAAUUUUUGGAUACUCAAGAUGUAUGAAUUUUUUAUUUUCAAUGCGGAAUGAGAUUCGCAUUUUAUUAUUAACAAGUUCAAUUAAACAAAUGGAUUUGAUAGUUUGUUAUGAUUACAGAUCGAAGUCAUUGCAGUGCUGUAGCCUACAGAGGAAGAAUGACAAACACCCUGGUACACAAAUCUUUCACUGCCGACUGACGAUGAACAUAAUAUAUUAGAUGCCAUUGUCACUGGAGAAGUAGAUAAUGUAGUACCACAAAUACCGAAUAACAUCCGUGUGCAAGAAAUGACCAGUCGUGGUACAUUGAGAACUUCAACUGGAGUUGGGCCUAGUUCUGCUUCUGGUGCCUCCAGAUAUAUAAUUGAAGACCGAAUGGAAGAAAUGUUGGGUAUGUACAGGCAACAUACGAUAUCAGACGUGUCCAGUUUGUGUGGCAACUUGAAGGCAGAAUUUGUUGAAGAAUCCAGAGCCUUGAACCAGGAUAUCCUUGAAAGCCAAAAGCAACUGUUUGAACAACAUAACAAAUCGAUGAAAGAUUACAUGCUAUGUGGUAUGCAGUCAUACAUGGAUAAUUCUCUAUCAAAUAUGUUUAGCACUCAUAUGGCCCAGGAAUCGCAACAAUAAGAAGCCCAUUAUCAGGCAAUUCUUCGAAAAUAAGAAGAAUUAUUCCAGCAGCAACAGGAGCACAUACAGUCUUAUAUUGAUACAAGUUUAUGUUCUGUCAGAUCUUACAUUGACAAAAAGAAUGAGAAUAUGCUAAACAGAUUAUCUAACUGGGAAUCCAACAUGGAAGCCAUUAUAGGUUUCAUGCAGCAGGAUGUUUCUCUCCAUGCAAGUCCAAAUUCUACUGUUCAAUCGCAUGAGACAUCAACGUCUCAACCAGCAGAAAGUGUUGACAUGCGGAGAAGAGAAAGGGAAAAGAAGAUGAAAUACACACAAGCUUCGACAUCCACAGGCCGUCCCUUAGAAGACUAUGACAUGAACAAGUACAAAAACAUUAGGAAUUGGAUAUCGAGAAAUCAAUCUGGGUAACAAAUGUAACUCAUUCUGAAUAGUCCGAAUGCUAAACAUUAUUAUAUCAAUGUCAAAAAUUAUUUGUUG
rnacentral:lncRNA from 1 species